rnacentral:rRNA from 1 species
AUUGAACGCUGGCGGCAUGCUUUACACAUGCAAGUCGAACGGCAGCACGGGUGCUUGCACCUGGUGGCGAGUGGCGAACGGGUGAGUAAUGCACCGGAACGUACCCAGUAAUGGGGGAUAACGCACCGAAAGGUGUGCUAAUACCGCAUACGCCCUGAGGGGGAAAGCGGGGGAUCGCAAGACCUCGCGUUAUUGGAGCGGCCGAUGCCGGAUUAGCUAGUUGGUGGGGUAAAGGCCCACCAAGGCGACGAUCCGUAGCUGGUCUGAGAGGACGACCAGCCACACUGGGACUGAGACACGGCCCAGACUCCUACGGGAGGCAGCAGUGGGGAAUUUUGGACAAUGGGGGCAACCCUGAUCCAGCCAUGCCGCGUGAGUGAAGAAGGCCUUCGGGUUGUAAAGCUCUUUCGCAAGGAAAGAAAUCUUACCUUCUAACAUAGGGUGAAGAUGACGGUACCUUGAUAAGAAGCACCGGCUAACUACGUGCCAGCAGCCGCAGUAA